AUGAACCAAAAGGAAUCAAUGUUCCCAAACCUAUCCAAACUGUUUGUACUAGAUGGGGUAGUGAUCCCUUCUGCUUUGAUUCUUACUCUAAUGUUGCAGUUGGAGCUUCAGGUGGAGAUUAUGAUAUUUUAGCUGAAAGUGUGGGAGAUGGUAGACUUUUCUUUGUUGGAGAAGUAACCGAUAGGCGUUAUCCUGCUACUAUGCACGGGGCUUUUCUAACUGGUCUACGAGAAGCAGGAAAUAUGGCCCACCAUGCUAAUAAUUGAUCAAUGAAUGUGAAGGUUGAAAAUUCUCCUUCAAAUGCUCAUACUUAUGCUUCCCUUCUUGCAAAUUUAUUUAGAGAGCCUGCUAUAGAAUUAGGGAGUUUUUCUAUCAUUUUUGCUCAGAAGAAUGCAUACCCAAAAUCACUUGCAAUCUUGAGGGUAACAUUUGGCGAACCUAAAAAGAAGUAUCACGAAGUUGCCAUACAAGACCAACAACAACACUCAAACAAAUUAUUUUUUCAGCAGCUUCAGUCAAAUUUUAAUCAGCAGCAGCUUCAUGUUUGCACUUUGUUGUCAACACAACGGGCUCUUGACCUAAGAGAAGUAGGGGGAGGUGAUGAAAUGAGAUUGAAUCACCUUUGCGAAAAGCUAGGAGUGAAGCUGGUGGGAACAAAAGGAUUGGGGCUGAAUGCUGAUUCUUUCAUUGCUUCUAUUAAAGCCGAGAGGGGCAAUCGUGAACUUGUUUCAACUUCUAUGUCUCUUAAACUAGAGAACAUAUGCAAGGCUGCUUUGGGAUUCAGGUUGGAAACAACAAAGUUGGCACCUCCCUGAUGCACAGAUUUUGGGAUUCAGCAAUGGCCUUAUCUCCAAAUGACGAUGAUGGCGAAACUUGGAGUGUGAACUCCUUCAAAAUAGGUUCUGAUGGAGGAGAAAUAGGGAAAUCGGCUCCUUAUUCGUAUGCAAGCAUGCCCUAUACUUUUCCUUCAAAGUACAAAAUAAGAAGGGCAGAAUGCAUAGAUUUACAUGUGGUCUUCACUUGACAUAUAAUGACUGAAGAAGUGUAACUAUGUUCCCACCAUACUCAUUAACAACAUACUAGGAGUUCUCUGAUUUUAAAAAUCCCACUGUUGGCGCCGAAGGUUGGUCGUAACUGUUUGGAUAUGAAAUCAAAUGAAAUUGAAAUUAUAAACGAUAUAAGGAGUGACUUCGAACUCUUAGAGAUUAUUACUUCGUAGUGUUUUUUAACUCUUGAAUGAUCGUCAUCAUUGUCAUUUUCUUUAUCCCAUUUUUUAUUUGCACUAUAUGACAUGUUUUGGUGAUCUAUUUAAUAUCGUGUUUCGACUUAUUGACAAAGGUUUUCAUUUAUAUUAUGCGUAGAGUGGAGACUUUGAUAAAGCUUUGGUGCUUUUUAAUAUGAUGCAUUCUUCAGGAAUCUUGCCUUCUGAGUUUACUUUACUUGGAGUUGUCAAUGCUUUGCUUACUGAAACUUGGAAUGUCGGUUAAUUUCUGACGAUACAUUUCUUAUGUUGUUGCAGUUUAUAAUCGUUGAGGUUUUUAGUAUGUUUGUAGUCAUUUCAGAAUUAACUUCUAUGGCUGGUUUUUGCUGCAGAUUGUUCCCUUAUUCAAAGUCUCAGGCUGCUGAUUUCUCUCGAUCUUUUUUCGGCCUCUUCGUCUUCAGUGUUCUGCAGCGUAUGUGCUUCUGUCAGAAAAGAAAUAAAUGAGUCAAAGCAGAAAAGAAGGAGAGGCUUUUGAAAAGGGCUCAGGCAGAGUCUGAGGGUAAAAAAGUUGAGACCAAGAAGCCUAUCAAUGUCAAGUAUGGUCUCAAUCAUGUUACCUACCUCAUUGAGCAGGCAGAAAGAAGGGCCAGAGUGCACAAGUUAAGACUUGAGAAAGGAGCUGCGAAAGCUGCUGAGGAGCUUGAGAAAUGUGAUGACUCAUUUAUAUUGUUCUAAUUUUGUUGAUUUACAUGGAUUUAUGUUUUCUGAAUGUUGUUUCUCUAUCUACUUCAAUGUAGAUGAUCCACAAAGUGAUCCAAAUAUAUCAUGAGUUUUACUAUAGCAAAUGAUUAUUUGAUUUGUACUAACUAUACAUGACUAUUGGAAUAUAUGAAGCAAUGGUCCUUAGGAUUCAUACAUAGA